rnacentral:rRNA from 1 species
UACGUAGGGGGCAAGCGUUGUCCGGAAUCAUUGGGCGUAAAGAGCGUGUAGGCGGCCCGGUAAGUCCGCUGUGAAAGUCCAGGGCUCAACCCUGGGAUGCCGGUGGAUACUGUCGGGCUCGAGUCCGGAAGAGGAGUGUGGAAUUCCUGGUGUAGCGGUGAAAUGCGCAGAUAUCAGGAGGAACACCAAUGGCGAAAGCAGCUCUCUGGGACGGUACUGACGCUGAGGAGCGAAAGCGUGGGGAGCAAACAGG